UCAGCACAGGGUCAGCGCUGCAGUAAAAGCAAUAAAUCACUCGCGCUUCCCACUGACCAUUCUGGGGAAGAUGCACAACUUUAUAAUGCACCGACUUUUGCCUUUUCAAAUCCCCCGUUUUUAUUCUCCUCCCUGACCUAUCGGCUGAUCUGUAUUCAUCCCGCCUACCAACCAAUGACGUGUUGCCUUUGCUCCUACUGACCAAUGAGCCGCCCACUCAUCCUCUCACUGUCCAAUGAGCUGCUGGUUCCCUUCCCGCGCUGUAGCGUUUCGCGUGUGAGAGAAGAGUGACGCGUUAGACAUAAGGUGACGAGCCCCGGUGCUACAGUAAAACCCCAGAGAGACUGCAGAGCAGCGGGGCAUACUUGUCCCACCUAUACAGUCUGUGGGCCAGAGUUGUUCCAUUCAGCAUCAGUAGAAAUGAGUGGACUCUGCUGUUGUGACACCGGCGAGUGGAAUUCGAGUGAUGUUAGCAGUGAGAAUGAGAUUAUUCACUGGCUGCCAUACACAUGGAAAACAAGGGAUUUCAAAACUGGGUCACUAUCUAAAAAAAGUCCCAGUAAAUUCCGCAUGCACUCCCAGGCCCUCCUGUGUGUAGAUAUCUGGUGCUCAGUCCUCUAGGGAGACGGCCCUCCCCUGGAUCCACAGGGAACAAACAAUCGAGGAACCGGCGCACAGAAAUGAUUGCAAAAGGGGAUUGACCCCUACGUGUUUAAUGUGUCGCGCAAUACACAACGUUUCGGGGGCUGGCCCCUUCGUCAGGUGACGAAUCUAAAAAACAAAUGCUCUGUAAGGCUACAAAUGUAUUUUUUAUUGUUACUUUUUAUUACUCAUCUUUCUAUCCAC